UACGUAGGGUGCGAGCGUUUGUCCGGAAUUACUGGGCGUAAAGAGCUCGUAGGUGGUUUGUCGCGUUGUUCGUGAAAACUCACAGCUUAACUGUGGGCGUGCGGGCGAUACGGGCAGACUGGAGUACUGCAGGGGAGACUGGAAUUCCUGGUGUAGCGGUGGAAUGCGCAGAUAUCAGGAGGAACACCGAUGGCGAAGGCAGGUCUCUGGGCCAUAACUGACGCUGAGAAGCGAAAGCAUGGGGAGCGAACAGG
rnacentral:rRNA from 1 species